GAAGUUUCUGAGUCUGCUGGGACACAGCUUGGGACUCUUAAUCUCAGGGUUGUGGGUUCGAGCCCCACAUUGAGCA